rnacentral:rRNA from 1 species
GACGAACGCUGGCGGCGUGCUUAACACAUGCAAGUCGAACGGGAUUUAGUAAACAGAAGCCUCGGUGGAAGAUUACUAAUGAGAGUGGCGAACGGGUGAGUAACGCGUGAGCAACCUGCCUAUGACAGUGGGAUAGCCUCGGGAAACCGGGAUUAAUACCGCAUAAAAUCGUAGAAACACAUGUUUUAACGGUCAAAGAUUUAUCGGUCAUAGAUGGGCUCGCGUCUGAUUAGCUAGUUGGUGAGAUAACAGCCCACCAAGGCGACGAUCAGUAGCCGGUCUGAGAGGCUGAACGGCCACAUUGGAACUGAGACACGGUCCAAACUCCUACGGGAGGCAGCAGUGGGGAAUAUUGCACAAUGGGGGAAACCCUGAUGCAGCGACGCCGCGUGAACGAAGAAGGUAUUCGUAUCGUAAAGUUCUGUCCUAUGGGAAGAUAAUGACAGUACCAUAGAAGAAAGCUCCGGCUAAAUACGUG